GUUAUAUGGUCAAGUGAAGAAGCGCAUACGGUGGAUGCCUUGGCAGUCAGAGGCGAUGAAAGACGUGGUAGCCUGCGAAAAGCUUCGGGGAGUCGGCAAACAGACUGUGAUCCGGAGAUGUCUGAAUGGGGGAACCCAGCCAUCAUAAGAUGGUUAUCUUACACUGAAUACAUAGGUGUAAGAGGCGAACCAGGGGAACUGAAACAUCUAAGUACCCUGAGGAAAAGAAAUCAACCGAGAUUCCCUUAGUAGUGGCGAGCGAACGGGGACCAGCCCUUAAGUUGUAUUGAGAUUAGCGGAACACUCUGGAAAGGGUGGCCAUAGUGGGUGAUAGCCCUGUACGCGAAAAUCCCUUUGCAAUGAAAUCGAGUAGGACGGGGCACGAGAAACCUUGUCUGAAUAUGGGGGGACCAUCCUCCAAGGCUAAAUACUACUGACUGACCGAUAGUGAACCAGUACCGUGAGGGAAAGGCGAAAAGAACCGCGGAGAGCGGAGUGAAAUAGAUCCUGAAACCGUAUGCGUACAAGCAGUGGGAGCCCACUUUGUUGGGUGACUGCGUACCUUUUGUAUAAUGGGUCAGCGACUUAUUUUCAGUGGCGAGCUUAACCGAAUAGGGGAGGCGUAGCGAAAGCGAGUCUUAAUAGGGCGUCUAGUCGCUGGGAAUAGACCCGAAACCGGGCGAUCUAUCCAUGGGCAGGUUGAAGGUUGGGUAACACUAACUGGAGGACCGAACCGACUACCGUUGAAAAGUUAGCGGAUGACCUGUGGAUCGGAGUGAAAGGCUAAUCAAGCUCGGAGAUAGCUGGUUCUCCUCGAAAGCUAUUUAGGUAGCGCCUCAUGUAUCACUGUAGGGGGUAGAGCACUGUUUCGGCUAGGGGGUCAUCCCGACUUACCAAACCGAUGCAAACUCCGAAUACCUACAAGUGCCGAGCAUGGGAGACACACGGCGGGUGCUAACGUCCGUCGUGAAAAGGGAAACAACCCAGACCGUCAGCUAAGGUCCCAAAGUCAUGGUUAAGUGGGAAACGAUGUGGGAAGGCUUAGACAGCUAGGAGGUUGGCUUAGAAGCAGCCACCCUUUAAAGAAAGCGUAAUAGCUCACUAGUCGAGUCGGCCUGCGCGGAAGAUGUAACGGGGCUCAAACCAUGCACCGAAGCUACGGGUAUCAUCUUAUGAUGAUGCGGUAGAGGAGCGUUCUGUAAGCCUGUGAAGGUGAGUUGAGAAGCUUGCUGGAGGUAUCAGAAGUGCGAAUGCUGACAUGAGUAACGACAAUGGGUGUGAAAAACACCCACGCCGAAAGACCAAGGUUUCCUGCGCAACGUUAAUCGACGCAGGGUUAGUCGGUCCCUAAGGCGAGGCUGAAAAGCGUAGUCGAUGGAAAACAGGUUAAUAUUCCUGUACUUCUGGUUAUUGCGAUGGAGGGACGGAGAAGGCUAGGCCAGCCUGGCGUUGGUAGUCCAGGUUUAAGGUGGUAGGCUGAGAUCUUAGGUAAAUCCGGGAUCUUAAGGCCGAGAGCUGAUGACGAGUGUUCUUUUAGAACAUGAAGUGGUUGAUGCCAUGCUUCCAAGAAAAGCUUCUAAGCUUCAGGUAACCAGGAACCGUACCCCAAACCGACACAGGUGGUUGGGUAGAGAAUACCAAGGCGCUUGAGAGAACUCGGGUGAAGGAACUAGGCAAAAUGGCACCGUAACUUCGGGAGAAGGUGCGCCGGUGAGGGUGAAGCAUUUACUGCGUAAGCCCACGCCGGUCGAAGAUACCAGGCCGCUGCGACUGUUUAUUAAAAACACAGCACUCUGCAAACACGAAAGUGGACGUAUAGGGUGUGACGCCUGCCCGGUGCCGGAAGGUUAAUUGAUGGGGUUAGCGCAAGCGAAGCUCUUGAUCGAAGCCCCGGUAAACGGCGGCCGUAACUAUAACGGUCCUAAGGUAGCGAAAUUCCUUGUCGGGUAAGUUCCGACCUGCACGAAUGGCGUAACGAUGGCGGCGCUGUCUCCACCCGAGACUCAGUGAAAUUGAAAUCGCUGUGAAGAUGCAGUGUAUCCGCGGCUAGACGGAAAGACCCCGUGAACCUUUACUAUAGCUUUGCACUGGACUUUGAAUUUGCUUGUGUAGGAUAGGUGGGAGGCUUUGAAGCGUGGACGCCAGUCUGCGUGGAGCCAACCUUGAAAUACCACCCUGGCAACUUUGAGGUUCUAACUCAGGUCCGUUAUCCGGAUCGAGGACAGUGUAUGGUGGGUAGUUUGACUGGGGCGGUCUCCUCCUAAAGAGUAACGGAGGAGUACGAAGGUGCGCUCAGACCGGUCGGAAAUCGGUCGUAGAGUAUAAAGGCAAAAGCGCGCUUGACUGCGAGACAGACACGUCGAGCAGGUACGAAAGUAGGUCUUAGUGAUCCGGUGGUUCUGUAUGGAAGGGCCAUCGCUCAACGGAUAAAAGGUACUCCGGGGAUAACAGGCUGAUACCGCCCAAGAGUUCAUAUCGACGGCGGUGUUUGGCACCUCGAUGUCGGCUCAUCACAUCCUGGGGCUGAAGCCGGUCCCAAGGGUAUGGCUGUUCGCCAUUUAAAGUGGUACGCGAGCUGGGUUUAGAACGUCGUGAGACAGUUCGGUCCCUAUCUGCCGUGGACGUUUGAGAUUUGAGAGGGGCUGCUCCUAGUACGAGAGGACCGGAGUGGACGAACCUCUGGUGUUCCGGUUGUCACGCCAGUGGCAUUGCCGGGUAGCUAUGUUCGGAAAAGAUAACCGCUGAAAGCAUCUAAGCGGGAAACUUGCCUCAAGAUGAGAUCUCACUGGAACCUUGAGUUCCCUAAAGGGCCGUCGAAGACUACGACGUUGAUAGGUUGGGUGUGUAAGCGCUGUGAGGCGUUGAGCUAACCAAUACUAAUUGCCCGUGAGGCUUGACCAUAUAACACCCAAGCAAUU
rnacentral:rRNA from 1 species